UAGAGUUUGAUCCUGGCUCAGGACUAACGCUGGCGGCGUGUCUUAGACAUGCAAGUCGAACGGGUUCUAUUCUGUAGCAAUACAGGAUAGCGCUAGUGGCAAACGGGUGAGUAAUGCAAAAGUAACUUACCUCAGAGUGGAGCAUAACCCGCCGAAAGGCGGACUAAUUCUCCAUAGUCUCCGCGAACAUACGUUUGCGGAGGAAAGGCUUCGGUCGCUCCGAGAGAGGCUUUUGACCUAUCAGUUAGUUGGUGAGAUAACGGCCCACCAAGACGAUGACGGGUAAGGGGUGUGAGAGCAUGAUCCCCCACAUGGGAACUGCGACACGGUCCCAACUCCUACGGGAGGCAGCAGUCUAGAAAUUUGGACAAUGGGCGCAAGCCUGAUCCAGCGACGCCGCGUGAGGGAUGAAGUCCUUCCCGGGAUGUAAGCGCUCUGUUGAGGGGGACGAUAAUGACAGGACCCCUCGA
rnacentral:rRNA from 1 species